rnacentral:sRNA from 1 species
ACAAAGGUUCAUCAUCUUCAACAUUUUCCCCAAAUUACAAACCUUAGUGAUUCUACCUACAAUUCUAUUUCGAUUGCUUGAUUUCUUUUUGCAGGUUUGAUGCUCAAGGAAGAAGAUGAAGCUCACGAUGAAGGGAAUUGAUUUCGCAGGUUUUGGUUCAAGAUGAAUGCGUGACGGCAACCUCAUGGUGAGGGAAGAAGAAGCAACUUGCAAUGCGCGUUUGAACAAGAUGAAGGGUUGAGGCUUCUAUGCGAAGAAGAUUAUACAAUCUGGGUGCUUCUGCAUUUUGGAUGCUUAUGAGUUUCUAGAUUGAAGGAAAUUGACUUGAGUUUCUGCAGGUCUAAAAUUUGGGAUUUGCGCGAGAAGGGAGAAGAGAAUACGAACCUACAGUGAUGGUGCAUGGAGAUUUUUGCAGGUUCAGACUCAUUGUAGAGCUCUCGUGGUGCUUGCGAUUUUGGUUGCUUCAUGACGCGAGGAUGAAGAGAAUACGAACCUACAGUGAUGGUGCAUGGACCUUGGCUGGCCAUAUUGUAGUGAUAUAGUGACCUUUUAUAAGUACAUGAUUAAGAUAUCCAAGACCAUAUUGUAGAUCCAAGACUUCUAAUAUUAACCACGAUACUCAU